GGGCGGUUAGCUCAGAUGGUUAGAGCGCGGCAUUGACAUUGCCGAGGUCGACGGUUCAAUUCCGUCAUCGCCCACCA
rnacentral:tRNA from 1 species